rnacentral:rRNA from 1 species
GGUUACUGCUAUCGGUGUUCGCCUAAGCCAUGCGAGUCAUAUGUUCUUCGGAACAUGGCGUACUGCUCAGUAACACGUGGAUAACCUGCCCUUGGGUCCGGCAUAACCCCGGGAAACUGGGGAUAAUUCCGGAUAACGCACAUAUGCUGGAAUGCUUUAUGCGUCAAAUGGAUUCGUCCGCCCAAGGAUGGGUCUGCGGCCUAUCAGGUAGUAGUGGGUGUAAUGUACCUACUAGCCUACGACGGGUACGGGUUGUGAGAGCAAGAGCCCGGAGAUGGAUUCUGAGACAUGAAUCCAGGCCCUACGGGGCGCAGCAGGCGCGAAAACUUUACAAUGCGGGAAACCGUGAUAAGGGGACACCGAGUGCCAGCAUCAUAUGCUGGCUGUCCGGGCGUGUAAAAUACACCUGUUAGCAAGGGCCGGGCAAGACCGGUGCCAGCCGCCGCGGUAACACCGGCGGCCCGAGUGGUGAUCGUGAUUAUUGGGUCUAAAGGGUCCGUAGCCGGUUUGGUCAGUCCUCCGGGAAAUCUGACGGCUUAACCGUUAGGCUUUCGGGGAUACUGCCAGACUUGGAACCGGGAGAGGUAAGAGGUACUACAGGGGUAGGAGUGAAAUCUUGUAAUCCCUGUGGGACCACCUGUGGCGAAGGCGUCUUACCAGAACGGGUUCGACGGUGAGGGACGAAAGCUGGGGGCACGAACCGGAUUAGAUACCCGGGUAGUCCCAGCCGUAAACGAUGCUCGCUAGGUGUCAGGCAUGGCGCGACCGUGUCUGGUGCCGCAGGGAAGCCGUGAAGCGAGCCACCUGGGAAGUACGGCCGCAAGGCUGAAACUUAA